UCUUCACCAGGUCACCUGUAGUUCAGGGCUCAGCCAGACAUAGGCAGAGUUUAUAUGCAGCAUCUGGGAUUCCCUCUCUCCGGGUGGCUCCCAUUCAGGGUUCACUCUUUACCUCCCAGCUGCUGUGGUUGUCCUCAAACACUGUCCUGUAGUUCUUCAAGCCAGAGUGACUGAAUAAAUCUAAUGAAGCUGAUGAGUGUCAAAGAGAACUUAGAAAACUGAAGUUUGAAUCCAUUAUCUCUGACUCACGGCAUACCAGAUUGCUUAAAGAAAAAGAAGAAUCUUUAAUG